GAGCGGUAAGGCCUUUCGGGGUACACGAGCGGCGAACGGGUGAGUAACACGUGGGUGAUCUGCCCUGCACUUCGGGAUAAGCCUGGGAAACUGGGUCUAAUACCGGAUAUGACCUCCUAUCGCAUGRYKGGUGGUGGAAAGAUUUAUCGGUGCAGGAUGGGCCCGCGGCCUAUCAGCUUGUUGGUGGGGUAAUGGCCUACCAAGGCGACGACGGGUAGCCGACCUGAGAGGGUGACCGGCCACACUGGGACUGAGACACGGCCCAGACUCCUACGGGAGGCAGCAGUGGGGAAUAUUGCACAAUGGGCGAAAGCCUGAUGCAGCGACGCCGCGUGAGGGAUGACGGCCUUCGGGUUGUAAACCUCUUUCAGCAGGGACGAAGCGCAAGUGACGGUACCUGCAGAAGAAGCACCGGCUAACUACGUGCCAGCAGCCGCGGUAAUACGUAGGGUGCAAGCGUUGUCCGGAAUUACUGGGCGUAAAGAGUUCGUAGGCGGUUUGUCGCGUCGUUUGUGAAAACCAGCAGCUCAACUGCUGGCUUGCAGGCGAUACGGGCAGACUUGAGUACUGCAGGGGAGACUGGAAUUCCUGGUGUAGCGGUGAAAUGCGCAGAUAUCAGGAGGAA
rnacentral:rRNA from 1 species